AACCCUAGUCAAUAGACUUACGGCGUAAAACGUGUUUAAGGGACUUUCCCCAUAAAGUUAAACUUUAGCUAUGCCGUAAAAAGCUACAGCUACUGUAAAAUCCAAUGCGAAAGUAACUUUAAAUUACCUGAAUACACGACAGCUAAGGCCCAAACUGGGAUUAGAUACCCCACUAUGCUUAGCCCUAAACCUAAAGAGCCUUCCAACAACAAGGCCCUUCGCCAGAGUACUACUAGCCAAAGCUUAAAACUCAAAGGACUUGGCGGUGCUUUAUAUCCCUCUAGAGGAGCCUGUUCUAUAAUCGAUAAACCCCGAUAAACCUCACCAACCCUUGCCAACU
rnacentral:rRNA from 1 species